rnacentral:tRNA from 1 species
GCCUUCGUAAUGUAACGGUAAAAUACUAGACGCGUAUUCACGAGGUCCAGGUUCGAGUCCCGGCGAGGGCA